rnacentral:rRNA from 1 species
UACGUAGGUGGCAAGCGUUGUCCGGAUUUACUGGGCGUAAAGAGCGCGCAGGCGGUCGUGCAAGUCGCGUGUGAAAGCCCCCGGCUCAACUGGGGAGGGUCACGCGAUACUGCUCGACUCGAAGGCAGGAGAGGGAAGUGGAAUUCCCGGUGUAGUGGUGAAAUGCGUAGAUAUCAGGAGGAACACCUGCGGUGUAGACGGCUUACUGGACCAUCACUGACGCUGAGGCACGAAAGCGUGGGUAGCAAACAGG